rnacentral:piRNA from 1 species
UCACAGAAACUUUUGCCAGACUGCUGCU